CGAUGGAUAGGGGUUCUGAGAGGAAGGUCCCCCACAUUGGUACUGAGACACGGACCAAACUCCUACGGGAGGCAGCAGUGAGGAAUAUUGGUCAAUGGGCGCGAGCCUGAACCAGCCAAGUCGCGUGAGGGAUGAAGGUUCUAUGGAUCGUAAACCUCUUUUAUAAGGGAAUAAAGUGCGGGACGUGUCCCGUUUUGUAUGUACCUUAUGAAUAAGGAUCGGCUAACUCCGUGCCAGCAGCCGCGGUAAUACGGAGGAUCCGAGCGUUAUCCGGAUUUAUUGGGUUUAAAGGGUGCGUAGGCGGCCUUUUAAGUCAGCGGUGAAAGUCUGUGGCUCAACCAUAGAAUUGCCGUUGAAACUGGGGGGCUUGAGUAUGUUUGAGGCAGGCGGAAUGCGUGGUGUAGCGGUGAAAUGCUUAGAUAUCACGCAGAACCCCGAUUGCGAAGGCAGCCUGCCAAGCCAUGACUGACGCUGAUGCACGAAAGCGUGGGGAUCAAACAGGAUUAGAUACCCUGGUAGUCCACGCAGUAAACGAUGAUCACUAGCUGUUUGCGAUACAGUGUAAGCGGCACAGCGAAAGCGUUAAGUGAUCCACCUGGGGAGUACGCCGGCAACGGUGAAACUCAAAGGAAUUGACGGGGGCCCGCACAAGCGGAGGAACAUGUGGUUUAAUUCGAUGAUACGCGAGAGCUCGUGCCGUGAGGUGUCGGCUUAAGUGCCAUAACGAGCGCAACCCUUGCCACUAGUUACUAACAGGUAAAGCUGAGGACUCUGGUGGGACUGCCAGCGUAAGCUGCGAGGAAGGCGGGGAUGACGUCAAAUCAGCACGGCCCUUACAUCCGGGGCGACACACGUGUUACAAUGGCGUGGACAAAGGGAGGCCACCUGGCGACAGGGAGCGAAUCCCCAAACCACGUCUCAGUUCGGAUCGGAGUCUGCAACCCGACUCCGUGAAGCUGGAUUCGCUAGUAAUCGCGCAUCAGCCAUGGCGCGGUGAAUACGUUCCCGGGCCUUGUACACACCGCCCGUCAAGCCAUGGGAG
rnacentral:rRNA from 1 species